AUUUUGGUCUCUAGUGAUGGUCGUAUCAUCUGGAUAUUUCAGGCUAGAAGAGCGCUGCGAGUUCUCAAGGCUGUAGUCAGUUGCUCGUACACAUCGUGCCUCCGACAAAGGCCUGCCGGCCCAACAGCACCAUAUCAGCAAGAUGUCCGUCCUUUUCAUCGUGUCCCAAAGCUUUUAGGAGGGAUGGGAUGCCUCGGCUAGAAGCAUGGAGUGCAAGUUCGAGCAAAACCAAACUGAAGUAAGCUUUGUCUCUUGUGACACAGUAAAUUCUUUUGUAGAGUGGCAACAAUCUUGGCUGUGAGUCGGAAACUAGCCCCUGAGAAUGGAGCUGGCUGGAUCAGCACCGCAAGAAGAGCAACCAGUUCUUUGAAGCGAGCUUUGACAGGUUUAGCAAUGACGUGCACGAGAAGAUCUACUCGGCUUUUGGUGGCGUUCCUCUCGACUGAGCAUGACGGGCUCCAAGACCACGAAGAGCAACCCUUUUAUCAGGAGCGCAAUAUAAAGAGGCCUUGUAAAUGAGUUUCGGGUUCGACUGGCCACAGUGAAUGUCACCCUGGUUUGAUCUUUAA